GGCACUUUAGCCUAGUGGUUAAAGCGCGAGUCCUCACACUCAAGAGGCUGCACACCUGGGUUCGAAUCCUGGGUGCGUCA